rnacentral:rRNA from 1 species
GACGAACCGUGCGUAACGUUAGUCGAAUCACUGGGCUUAAAGCGCGUGUAGGCGGGACGGCACGUCGGUCGCUGAAAUCCCCCGGCUCAACCGGGGAACGGGCGCCGAUACGACCGCCCUGGAGGGACGUAGGGGGACCUGGAACUUCCGGUGGAGCGGUGAAAUGCGUUGAGAUCGGAAGGAACGCCCGUGGCGAAAGCGAGGUCCGUGGACGUUUACGUGACGCUGACGACG